rnacentral:rRNA from 1 species
AGAACGAACGCUGGCGGCAUGCCUAAUACAUGCAAGUCGAACGAACUCUUCGGAGUUAGUGGCGCACGGGUGCGUAACGCGUGGGAAUCUGCCCUUGGGUUCGGAAUAACAGUUGGAAACGACUGCUAAUACCGGAUGAUGACGAAAGUCCAAAGAUUUAUCGCCCAGGGAUGAGCCCGCGUAGGAUUAGCUAGUUGGUGAGGUAAAGGCUCACCAAGGCGACGAUCCUUAGCUGGUCUGAGAGGACGAUCAGCCACACUGGGACUGAGACACGGCCCAAACUCCUACGGGAGGCAGCAGUGGGGAAUCUGCGCAAUGGCGAAAGCCUGACGCAGCCAUGCCGCGUGAAUGAUGAAGGUCUUAGGAUUGUAAAAUUCUUUCAGUAGGGACGAUAAUGACGGUACUACAGAAGAAGCCCCGGACUAACUUCGUAGCCAGCAGCCGC